UAGGGAAUCUUCGGCAAUGGACGAAAGUCUGACCGAGCAACGCCGCGUGAGUGAAGAAGGUUUUCGGAUCGUAAAACUCUGUUGUUAGAGAAGAACAAGGACGUUAGUAACUGAACGUCCCCUGACGGUAUCUAACCAGAAAGCCACGGCUAACUACGUGCCAGCAGCCGCGGUAAUACGUAGGUGGCAAGCGUUAAUCGGAAUUACUGGGCGUAAAGCGCACGCAGGCGGUCUGUCAAGUCGGAUGUGAAAUCCCCGGGCUUAACCUGGGAACUGCAUUCGAAACUGGCAGGCUAGAGUCUUGUAGAGGGGGGUAGAAUUCCAGGUGUAGCGGUGAAAUGCGUAGAGAUCUGGAGGAAUACCGGUGGCGAAGGCGGCCCCCUGGACAAAGACUGACGAUCAGGUGCGAAAGCGUGGGGAGCAAACAGG
rnacentral:rRNA from 1 species